UACAGAGGGGGCAAGCGUUGUUCGGAAUUACUGGGCGUAAAGGGCGCGUAGGCGGCCGUCUAAGUCGAACGUGAAAUCCCCGGGCUCAACCCGGGAACUGCGUCCGAGACUGGAAGGCUCGAAUCCGGGAGAGGGAUGUGGAAUUCCAGGUGUAGCGGUGAAAUGCGUAGAUAUCUGGAGGAACAUCGGUGGCGAAGGCGGCAUCCUGGACCGGUAUUGACGCUGAGGCGCGAAAGCCAGGGGAGCAAACGGG
rnacentral:rRNA from 1 species